rnacentral:precursor_RNA from 1 species
AUAUUGUCCUGUCACAGCAGUACGUGCACUGUUACUGCUGCGUCCGGACAAACGGG